rnacentral:rRNA from 1 species
AUUGAACGCUGGCGGAAUGCUUUACACAUGCAAGUCGAACGGCAGCACGGGGGCAACCCUGGUGGCGAGUGGCGAACGGGUGAGUAAUACAUCGGAACGUGCCCAGUCGUGGGGGAUAACGUAGCGAAAGUUACGCUAAUACCGCAUACGAUCUACGGAUGAAAGCGGGGGACCGUAAGGCCUCGCGCGAUUGGAGCGGCCGAUGUCAGAUUAGGUAGUUGGCGAGGUAAAGGCUCACCAAGCCGACGAUCUGUAGCUGGUCUGAGAGGACGACCAGGCAAACUGGGACUGAGACACGGCCCAGAAUCCGACGGGAGGCAGCAGGGGGGAAUUUUGGACAAUGGGAGCAAGCCUGAUCCAGCCAUUCCGCGUGCAGGACGAAGGCCUUCGGGUGGUAAACUGCUUUUGUACGGAACGAAAAGGCUCUGGUUAAUACCUGGGGCUGAUGACGGUACCGUAAGAAUAAGCACCGGCUAACUACGUGCCAGCAGCCGCAGUAA